CAAUAUGAGGCGGGCUGGACCUCUCGGGGUUACAGCCUUGCUGAAUUAUUCACCCUUGUCUUUUGCGUACUUCUUGUUUCCUUGGUGGGUUCGCCCACCACUAGGACAAACAUAAACCUUUUGUAAUUGCAAUCAGCGUCAGUAACAAAUUAAUAAUUACAACUUUCAACAACGGAUCUCUUGGUUCUGGCAUCGAUGAAGAACGCAGCGAAAUGCGAUAAGUAGUGUGAAUUGCAGAAUUCAGUGAAUCAUCGAAUCUUUGAACGCACAUUGCGCCCUUUGGUAUUCCAAAGGGCAUGCCUGUUCGAGCGUCAUUUGUACCCUCAAGCUUUGCUUGGUGUUGGGCGUCUUGUCUCUAGCUUUGCUGGAGACUCGCCUUAAAGUAAUUGGCAGCCGGCCUACUGGUUUCGGAGCGCAGCACAAGUCGCACUCUCUAUCAGCAAAGGUCUAGCAUCCAUUAAGCCUUUUUUUCAACUUUUGACCUCGGAUCAGGUAGGGAUACCCGCUGAACUUAAGCAUAUCAAAA
rnacentral:rRNA from 1 species